GAUAAAAUGCCUGAUGAAAAGGAUUAUCUUGAUAGGAUAAAUAAUGUGUACUUCCACUUUUAUUA
rnacentral:tRNA from 1 species